AAGCACUGACUUCUAUGAAGGACUGCGGCCACAAUUCUCCAUGUAGAAAAGCAAGAAUGGCAUCUUUGAAUAUCUGAAGUGUACUUUUUGGAAAUAUACGGUCAAUACUUACUGCUGAAGAAUUCUUUUUCGGAUAAGAUAUCUGCAUCUGCUUCAUACCAGUUAACUAGAAGCCCAUCGGAAUCUUCUGGCUGAAAAUAGAGCUGUAUGCUUCCCCCAGGUGAGAUAAAUACAAAGAAAAUGUAGCCAUGCUCUGCAGAGACCCCAUCACAAGGAGAUCUGAACUGGCUCACUAGUCACUGGGGAAACUCCCAUAUAUUUAAUCAGGCAUCAUUUAUUUGCAAUCAUUAAGUAUUACAGUAAGGCAUUUUUGGGGGGUUUUGCCCUUGCAUUGGUAUCACUGUGCAAAUGCAACUAAUGAUAUUCACGUGCUUGCUUUUUAUUUUAUAUAUUUUACAGUGCUGGGUCUUGUAAAAGCACUUUAAAUUAAUUAAAACAAUAUUUUCCCCCUGA